GGAAUAUUGGGCAAUGGACGGAAGUCUGACCCAGCCAUGCCGCGUGCAGGAAGAAGGCCUUCUGGGUUGUAAACUGCUUUUAUCUAGGAAGAAAACACUCUUGCGAGAGGACCUGACGGUACUAGAUGACUAAGCACCGGCUCACUACGUGCCAGCAGCCGCGGUAAUCCGGAGGGUGCAAGCGUUGUCCGGAUUUAUUGGGUUUAAAGGGUGCGUAGGCGGCCCGUUAAGUCAGUGGUGAAAUCCUCCAGCUCAACUGGAGAACUGCCAUUGAUACUGGCGGGCUUGAGUACAGACGAGGUUGGCGGAAUUGAUAGUGUAGCGGUGAAAUACAUAGAUACUAUCAAGAACACCGAUUGCGUAGGCAGCUAACUAGGCUGUAACUGACGCUGAGGCACGAAAGCGUGGGGAGCGAAC
rnacentral:rRNA from 1 species